rnacentral:rRNA from 1 species
CCUACGGGUGACUGCAGUAGGGAAUUUUCGGCAAUGGGCGGAACCCUGGCCGAGCAACGCCGCGUGAACGAAGAAGUUAUUCGUAAUGUAAAGCUCUUUUAAUAGGGAAGUAAGAGACAUUUGACGGUACCUGAAGAAUAAGCUUUGGCUAACUACGUGCGGGCAGCCGCGGUAAUCGGCAGGGAGGGAGCGUUAUCGGGAUUCAUUGGGCUAAAAGGGUGCGUAGAUGGCAUAUUAAGUAUUUUGUAAAAGUCGGGGGUUAAACCCAGAAGUGCAAAUGUUACUGGAAAGCUAGAGUAUGACAGAGGCAGGUGGAACUAGAGGUGUAGCGGUAAAAUGCUUAAAUAUAUGGAAGAACACCAGUGGCGAAGGCAGCUUGCUGGAUCGUUACUGACAUUGAGGCACGAAAGCGUGGGUAGCAAACAGGAUUAGAUACCCCUGUAGUC